rnacentral:rRNA from 1 species
AGUGAACGCUGGCGGUAGGCCUAACACAUGCAAGUCGAACGGCAGCACAGUAAGAGCUUGCUCUUACGGGUGGCGAGUGGCGGACGGGUGAGGUAUACAUCGGAAUCUACUUUUUCGUGGGGGAUAACGUAGGGAAACUUACGCUAAUACCGCAUACGACCUACGGGUGAAAGCAGGGGAUCUUCGGACCUUGCGCGAUUGAAUGAGCCGAUGUCGGAUUAGCUAGUUGGCGGGGUAAAGGCCCACCAAGGCGCCGAUCCGUAGCUGGUCUGAGAGGAUGAUCGGCCACACUGGAACUGAGACACGGUCCAGACUCCUACGGGAGGCAGCAGUGGGGAAUAUUGGACAAUGGGCGCAAGCCUGAUCCAGCCAUACCGCGUGGGUGAAGAAGGCCUUCGGGUUGUAAAGCCCUUUUGUUGGGAAAGAAAAGCAGCAGGUUAAUACCCCGCUGUUCUGACGGUACCCAAAGAAUAAGCACCGGCUAACUUCGUG